UACGGAGGAUGCAAGCGUUAUCCGUAAUGAUUGGGCGUAAAGCGUCCGCAGGUGGCAUUUCAAGUCUGCGGUCAAAGGUCGAGGCUCAACCUCGAACAGGCCGUGGAAACUGAAAAGCUAGAGUGUGGUAGGGGCAGAGGGAAUUCCCAGUGUAGCGGUGAAAUGCGUAGAUAUUGGGAAGAACACCGGUGGCGAAGGCGGCAACCUGGCCCUUUGACUGACGCUGAGGCGCGAAAGCGUGGGGAGCAAACAGG
rnacentral:rRNA from 1 species